CACAUAUAACACUUGCCCACAGACAUAGUAGACGGUAGUGAUUUCAGCAGAGCUUAAAACUCAUUCAGUGUAACAAAGACUUGAAGCUGAAGUUUAGAUGGUAAUUUAUUCCAAGCAUUAAGUGCAGAAAACCUAAAUGCUUUCUUGCAUUCAGAGCAAACUUUGGGGAUGAUGAAUUGCAGAGUAUCCAUAGAUCUGAGAUUGUAACUUCCAUGUUUCCUUGUUAAAAGACAAGACAAAUAGGAAGGAAUAAUAUCCAGAAUGGUUCUGUAAAUAAACACCAAUGACUGAGACAUCAGGCACUGAACAGAAAAAUGGAGGUUCCUCCAAUUUCCUGUUCACUUCCAUUGGAGACUCUUAAUUCAGCUCUUCUGUCUUGGGUUUUCUGAAUUGUGUUUCAUUUGCCAGUUGUUUUUUUUUUCUAAAUGUUGCUUUCCCCGUCAUGUCUGUACACCAGUGAAACCAGUAACCCGUCCCCCUUCACUUUCAACCUCCGGCCAUGACUGUGGCGGCCAGAUGUUAGGAAGUCUUUGAACCGGCAGUUCUGGCAGGAGGAGGAGGAGGAUGAGGCCACUUUCCCAACCCUCCUGAGGAAUAAGAAGCCGAGCCACGCCUCAUGACUGGGGAGAGAGCUGCAACAUGCCUUUUUAAUUAGACUGACAGGGAUGGAGGGUUUAAUGAAUGCGGAGCCACGCCUUUAUGGCCAGAUAGACCCAGAUGGUGUUUUGCUCCCUGAAGAUGAGGUGUGGCGACUCUUGGGAAGACGCUGCAUCAGAUCCACUCCCAGCUGCUGCACAUUUGUGAAGGAUAAAACCGUAGAAAUGCCUCCGAGGCAAUGAAACAAACAGCAGAGAGCAACGCAACAGAAAUACUGAAUGCUUAUCAAUCAGAUUUUGCCAUUCCUGAGCUGACAUGCAGCGCAGUUCCAACAUGUUCGAGUCGUAGAGGUUAUAUCACAGUUUCACCAGUGCUUGGACUGAAAUGAAAAUAUGUGUGAACUAGAAGCUGCAGGACAGACUGGGUCUUGUCAAAGUGUUUCUGAAGCAAAUGACAUCUGUCACAAGCAGCUGUUUGUGUUUUUGUCUCGGUGUGGAUUAAACGGAUGGAGGCUUUUGUAAGACUUGACUGCUGUGUCUGGUCUGAAGUUUGGGUGUAAGUAAAUACUAAAUAGAGUACAGAAUCGUGUUGUUGCUGCUGACAUGAUCUUGUUUAUGGCUGUAAUUUGGAUUUCUUGUUGGGCAGCGGCAUCACAUUUCCCAGGUCAGCAGUGUUCAUAGUUCUGGUGUAGUGAUUCAGUUCAGGUGUGUUUAUAUAGCGCCAGUUCACAACACAUGGUCCGGUCGAGGCAGAUGGCCGCCUUCCCUGAGCCUGGUUCUGUCAGAGCUUUUCUUUUUUCUUCACCGUUAAAGGUGAGUAAAGGAAAAAUGGCACUUUUUUUUCGACAUAGUAUACUAUGACAAAGGCAGUCUGUUGAUGCAAAGGAAACUAUGGCUUCCUUCCCAACAUUCAACUGUACACACUACAACUCACACAUAAGCACAAAUGUGUCACAUACGACAUAGGGAUGUCAUAUGCAUUACAUCCUUUGAAAGCUAAAGUUUACUGAGGGCCAGGUCAGGAACAGACUGCAACAGAUAGUAAGCGCUGUGGUUGACUUUGCUGCUCAUUUACAGUUGUACUGCUAUUCUGACAGAGGACAGUCCAGUUAGCUUUCUAGAAAACGCAACAAACAAACAAAGAAGCAAAUUAUUACCAAUUUCCAUCUACUAGUGCUGUCUAGUUGUUAGGAUGUUCUGCUCCUCUGCAACAUUUUCCACCUCUUCUGGACGGGUCCCAAUGUGUUGCAAGGCCAGAUGAGGUACGUCAGCAUUUAGAAAACGGGCAAAAUGUGCCAGUGAAAUCUCUUUAAUUCAGUGGAAUCACCAUAAUCAGUGGGUUCACAGGUGUUGGUGAAUUUUAACAAAAAAAAUGCCUGUGUGAGCUCGCUGCCUGUUAGCCACAGAGCUAACUAGUUUUAACUAUUUAUUUUUUACUCCCACAAAUAAUCUUGAAAAAGGAGACUAGUUCAAACCAAAGAAGGUUGGGGAGUUUUUACAGCUGACUACUGUUAUAUAUGAGCUCACCAUAGACUGAACUGAGACAUGAACUACCUGUGUGUUCCUGGGCCAGAUGAGAUAGGUAGCACCAGCAUUGAAAACGGCAAAAUGUGUCUGUUAGCCAGAGCAAACCAGUUUCUGUUUUCUUUUAACUCCAUAAAUAUUCUUGAAAAAGGAGCCUGGUACAAAACAAAAGAUGUUCCGAGGCCAGAUGAGAUACAUGACGCUAGCAUUUAAAAUGGCAAAAUGUGGAAAUGAAAUCAGUUUAAUUCAAUGGAAUCACCAUGAUCAGUGGGUUCACAGGUGUUGGUGAGGUAAAGUCACAAAAAAUGGCAAAUUCAAUGUGAGUUAUGUUCAACUGUGGUAAAUUUUUAUUUUUUUUUAACAUAGACUGUGUGAACUUGCUGCCUGUUAGCAAAAGAGCUAACCAGUUUCAGCUUUUUUGUUUGUUUUGUUUUUAAAUCCCCAUGAAUAAUCUUGAGAAAGGAGCCUGGUACAAAACAAAAUGUCACCAGGCUUGUACUACCUCCCUUUGGCAGAUAGAUUUCACUGUGCCAGACACUAACGUUCAUUCAUGAUGAUUUUUUUUUCAAAGAAAACCUUUCUGGAGUGUUUUCCACGCCCUCCUUUGCAUUAUUUUAUCAUGUGACAGGUUUUUACAACACGUUCGAAAAAUCGCAUUUUUUUUUCGACAUAGUAUAGUAAGGCGUUUUUUUGCGCCAAAAUUCAUGAUGAUUUUUUUCGAACAAAACCUUUCUGGAGUGUUUUUCACGCCCUCCUUUACAUUAUUUCAUCAUAUGACAGGUUUUUACAGCAUGUUCGAAAAAUCGCAUGUUUUUUCGACAUAGUAUAGUAAGGCGUUUUUUUGGCGCCAAAAUUCAUGAUGAUUUUUUUUUCAAAGAAAACCUUUCUGGAGUGUUUUUCACGGCCUCCUUUACAUUAUUUCAUCAUAUGACAGGUAUUUACAGCAUGUUCGAAAAAUCUGAUUUUGUUUCGACAUAGUAUAGUAAGGCGUUUUUUUGGCGCCAAAAUUCAUGAUGAUUUUUUUCAAACAAAACCUUUCUGGAGUGUUUUUCACGCCCUCCUUUACAUUAUUUCAUCAUAUGGCACGUUUUUUGAACAUGUUUGAAAAAUCGGAUUUUUUUUCGACAUAGUAUAGUAAGGCGUUUUUUUGCGCCAAAAUUCAUGAUGAUUUUUUUUUCAAAGAAAACCUUUCUGGAGUGUUUUUCACGCCCUCCUUUACAUUAUUUCAUCAUAUGGCAGGUUUUUACAACAUGUUCGAAAAAUCGCAUUUUUUUUUCGACAUAGUAUAGUAAGGCGUUUUUUUUGCGCCAAAAUUCAUGAUGAUUUUUUUUUCAAAGAAAACCUUUCUGGAGUGUUUUUCACGCCCUCCUUUACAUUAUUUCAUCAUAUGGCAGGUUUUUACAACAUGUUCGAAAAAUCGCAUUUUUUUUUCGACAUAGUAUAGUAAGGCGUGUUUUUUGCGACAAAAUUCAUGAUGAUUUUUGUUUCAAAGAAAACCUUUAUGGAGUGUUUCUCAGGCCCUCCUUUACAUUAUUUCAUCAUAUGACAGGUUUUUACAGCAUGUUCGAAAAAUCGCAUUUUUUUUCGACAUAGUAUAGUAAGGCGUUUUUUUUGCGCCAAAAUUCAUGAUGAUUUUUUUUUCAAAGAAAACCUUUCUGGAGUGUUUCUCAGGCCCUCCUUUGCAUUAUUUCAUCAUAUGGCACGUUUUUUGAUUAUAUUUGAAAAAUCGCAUUUUUUUCGAGAUAGUAUAGUAAGGCGUUUUUUUUGCGCCAAAAUUCAUGAUGAUUUUUUUUUCAAAGAAAACGUUUCUGGAGUGUUUUUCACGCCCUCCUUUGCAUUAUUUCAUCAUAUGGCAGGUUUUUACAACAUCUUGGAAAAAAGGCAUUUUUUUUCGACAUAGUAUAGUAAGGCGUUUUUUUUGCGCCAAAAUUCAUGAUGAUUUUUUUUUCAAAGAAAACCUUUCUGGAGUGUUUUUCACGCCCUCCUUUGCAUUAUUUCAUCAUAUGGCACGUUUUUUGAACAUAUUUGAAAAAUCGCAUUUUUUUUCGACAUAGUAGAGUAAGGUGUUUUUUUUGCGCCAAAUUUCAUGAUGAUUUUUUUUCAAAGAAAACCUUUCUGGAGUGUUUUUCACACCCUCCUUUGCAUUAUUUCAUCAUAUGGCAGGUUUUUUGAACAUGUUUGAAAAAUCGCAUUUUUUUGUGACAUAGUAUAGUAAGGCGUUUUUUUUGCGCCAAAAUUCAUGAUGAUUUUUUUUUCAAAGAAAACCUUUCUGGAGUGUUUCUCAGGCUCUCCUUUGCAUUAUUUCAUCAUAUGGCAGGUUUUUACAACAUGUUCGAAAAAUCGCAUUUUUUUUCGACAUAGUAUAGUAAGGCGUUUUUUUUGCGCCAAAAUUCAUGAUGAUUUUUUUUUCAAAGAAAACCUUUCUGGAGUGUUUUUCACGCCCUCCUUUGCAUUAUUUCAUCACAUGGCAGGUUUUUUGAACAUGUUGGAAAAAUCGCAUUUUUUUUCGACAUAGUAGUAAGGCGUUUUUUUUGCGCCAAAAUUCAUAAUGAUUUUUUUUUUCCAAAGAAAACCUUUCUGGAGUGUUUUCUCAUGCCCUCCUUUACAUUAUUUCAUCAUAUGGCAGGUUUUUACAACAUGUUCGAAAAAUCGCAUUUUUUUUCGACAUAGUAUAGUAAGGCGUUUUUUUUGCGCCAAAAUUCAUGAUGAUUUUUUUUUCAAAGAAAACCUUUCUGGAGUGUUUUUCACGCCCUCCUUUACAUUAUUUCAUCAUAUGGCAGGUUUUUUACAACAUGUUCGAAAAAUCGCAUUUUUUUUCGACAUAGUAUAGUAAGGCGUUUUUUUUGCGCCAAAAUUCAUGAUGAUUUUUUUUUCAAAGAAAACCUUUCUGGAGUGUUUUUCACGCCCUCCUUUGCAUUAUUUCAUCAUAUGGCAGG